AUUGAACGCUGGCGGCAUGCCUUACACAUGCAAGUCGAACGGCAGCACGGGAGCAAUCCUGGUGGCGAGUGGCGAACGGGUGAGUAAUAUAUCGGAACGUGCCCAGUCGUGGGGAUAACGUAGCGAAAGCUACGCUAAUACCGCAUACGAUCUAUGGAUGAAAGCGGGGGAUCGCAAGACCUCGCGCGAUUGGAGCGGCCGAUAUCAGAUUAGGUAGUUGGUGAGGUAAAGGCUCACCAAGCCGACGAUCUGUAGCUGGUCUGAGAGGACGACCAGCCACACUGGGACUGAGACACGGCCCAGACUCCUACGGGAGGCAGCAGUGGGGAAUUUUGGACAAUGGCGCAAGCCUGAUCCAGCAAUGCCGCGUGCAGGAUGAA
rnacentral:rRNA from 1 species